GACGAACGCUGGCGGCGUGCUUAACACAUGCAAGUCGAACGGACAGGCCCUGCUUGCAGGGUACUCGAGUGGCGAACGGGUGGGUAACACGUGGGUGAUCUGCCCUGCACUUCGGGAUAAGCCUGGGAAACUGGGUCUAACACCGGAGAGGAGCCAUAUUUAGUGUGAUGGUUGGAAAGUUUUGUCGGUGUGGGAUGAGCUUGAGGCCUAUCAGCUUGUUGGAGGGGUAAUGGCCUACCAAGGCGGCGGAGGGAAGCAGGCCUGAGGGGGUGGCCGGCCACAUAGACACUUAGAGGCGGCCCAGACUCCGACGGGAGGCAGCGGUGGGGAAUCUUGAACGAGGGGCGCAGGCCUGAUGCAGCGGCGCCGCGUGGGGGAGAACGGCCUUCGGGUUGUAAACUCAAUUCGCUAGGAACGAAGCUUUUUGUGACGGUACCUAGAGAAGAAGCCCCGGCUAACUACGUG
rnacentral:rRNA from 1 species